UACAGAGGUCCCGAGCGUUGUUCGGAUUCACUGGGCGUAAAGGGUGCGUAGGUGGCCUGAAAAGUUUGAUGUGAAAGCUCAGGGCUUAACCCUGAAAUGGCAUUGAAUACUGCGGGCUGGAGGUUUGGAGGGGGGACUGGAAUUCUUGGUGUAGCAGUGAAAUGCGUAGAUAUCAAGAGGAACACCAGUGGCGAAGGCGAGUCCCUGGACAACACCUGACACUGAGGCACGAAAGCUAGGGGAGCAAACAGG
rnacentral:rRNA from 1 species